UCAGGCCUAACACAUGCAAGUCUAAUAGUUUUCGCAAAAAACUAUGGCGGACGGGUGAGUAAUACUCGGGAACUUACCUUGCAGUCGGGGAUUCAAAUACCGGACGUUAAUAAAGGGCUUUCAUUAGUCCGCUGCAAGAUAGGCCUUAGGAGGAUUAGGUAGUUGGUAGGAAAAAGCCUACCAAGCCGAAGAUCUUUAGCUGAUUUGAGAGGAUGAUCGGCCACAUUGGGACUGAGACACGGCCCAAACUCCCUUGGGAGGCAGCAGUGAAGAAUUUUGGACAAUGGACGAAAGUCUGAUCCAGCAAUGUUACGUGGGUGAACGAAGGCUAUUUAGGUCGUAAAACCCUUUCAGCAAAAAAGAUAAUGACUUUUUGCAGAAGAAGUCCCGGCUAACUCCGUGCCAGCAGCCGCGGUAAUACGGGGGGGGCAAGCGUUAUUCGGAAUGAUUGGGCGUAAAGGGUCCGUAGGCGGUUUCUUAAGUUAGUUCUAUAAUUUUCUGGGCUUAACCUGAAGAGUGAACUGAGACUAAAGAAACUACGAGUUUGAGAGGGGAUAGUGGAAUUCCUAGUGUAAGGAUAAAAUCUCUAGAUAUUAGGAGGAACACCAGUUGGCGAAGGCGACUAUCUGGCUCAAAACUGACGCUGAGGGACGAAAGUAUGGGUAUCGAAUGGGAUUAGAGACCCCAGUAGUCCAUACCG
rnacentral:rRNA from 1 species